UGGCUAAUAUUCAGAAGGAGCAGAAGGCUGUGAGCUGUGUGUCAGAGAAGGCCAUGUGGUGGGACAGGAGGGGGGCCUUGAACACACAGAUGGAGAUAAGACUCACUCAGACUGGUGUGAAGGGAAGUACAUCUGGGGUUGGUUGAAAAAGGAUAAAGUAAAAUAAGAGGGGUUCUGUUCAAAAACGUAUGUUGAAGGAAUGCUUAUACUCUCGGUAAGAUUGGUGGGUGGGUGGGUAAGAGAAAUAAUGUACAGUAGACGCAAAAAGGUGUGGCAUAGAUUACUACAUAUCUCUUUGUGGUUUAUGGUGAUGAUGAGAUCAUUUUGGUAUGUCCCUAAAUAUCUUUUUAGACUCUCUCACUCUCCUCAGAGGCUGCUGGAGGAGAUGGAGGGGUUGCUGGGCUGCUGGCGGGGGCACCUCCUACCCCUGACCUGUGACCCUGAGCUGUCUGUCCAGGUCAAACGCCUUCAGAAGACCCUCACUGCCUGGGGGGCACUGGCAUCAGAGGAAAUGCUCAAAGUGCUUCUACAUGCCUUAUAGUGCUGUGCUGUCUGCCUCUCCCCUGCCCUCCCAGUCCCAGCUGGAGUGGUUAGCCCAGGGAGUGUUUGGACCUUCUGCAGACAACUGCGGCUGUACUGGCAGAGAGGCCCGACUCCACAAGGACAUGUGGUGCUCAUCUUGGACAGGAUGGGAGUCUCUCACACUUGCACCCUACACUCAAAUCGACUCUAAUGUGCAAGAUCAACGUACAAAGCGGAACAAUGCACUUUCUUUGUGUAGAGGAGAGUUGAGGAAAGUCUACCGUGACAUGAACACAUUGCCUAUAAGUGUGACUGCUGUGAUAAUGCCCAGUGAAAUGUUUGUCUUGUCUUAUCUUGCAGUACCUCCAGAAUCUGUCAUGGGAGAGCAUCUCCUGCCUCAGGCCUCGCUCUCUCACCCACAUGCCCUCUCUACACUCACUGCUUGGCCACUGUGCUCUAAGAGAGUCUGACCAGGAAUCUCCUGAAUGGAGGUGUGGACCCCAAGCAGGUGUUCUACGUGCUCAACCUUGAUGAAAACGUGUGGUUCACCAGUUGAGUACAGUACCAACAGCACUGUAUCAGGGGGCUUUAUUUGUCUUCUCUCUCUCUCUCUCUCUCUCUCUCUCUCUCUCUCUCUCUCU